CCUACGGGCGGCUGCAGUAGGGAAUAUUGGGCAAUGGGCGAAAGCCUGACCCAGCCAUGCCGCGUGCGGGACGAAGGCGCAUAGCGUCGUAAACCGCUUUGGCGGGGGACUAAAGCCGCAGUCGCUGCGGCCUGAAGGUACCCCGAGAACAAGCGCCGGCCAACUACGUGCCAGCAGCCGCGGUAAUACGUAGGGCGCAAGCGUUAUCCGGAUUUACUGGGUUUAAAGGGUGCGCAGGCGGGCCGAACAGUCGGCGAUGAAAUGUCGGGGCUUAA
rnacentral:rRNA from 1 species